GAUGAACGCUAGCGGCAGGCCUAACACAUGCAAGUCGAGGGAUAAGCCUUCGGGCUUAGCCCGGCGCACGGGUGCGUUUCGCGUAUACAAUCUGCCUUUUAUCCGGGGGAUAGCCCGAAGACAUUUGGAUUGAUACCCUAUGGUAUAAGCGCCCGGCAUCGUGCACUUAUUACACGUACGGCGGUAAAAGAUGAGUAUGCGUUCUAUUAGCUAGUUGGCGAGGUAACUGCACUCCAAGGCUACGAUAGAUAGGGGUUCUGAGAGGGAUGUCCCCGACACGGGAACGGAGAUACGGACCAGACGACUACGGGAGGGAGCAGUGUGUUAUAUUAGGCAAUGGUCGGAAAACUGAUCCAGCCAUGACGCGUGCAGUAGGGCGGCCUUAUGGGAUGUAAACUGCUUUUGGAAGGGAAGAAUAAUGUGAACGGGGACUUUGAUGACGGUACCUUACGAAUAAGCACCGGCUAACUCCGUG
rnacentral:rRNA from 1 species